rnacentral:lncRNA from 1 species
GUUACAGAAGUUCAAAUCAUCAUCAUACGGGAAGUUUUCAGCCAAUUUACUGUAUUGGAGCAACUGACCACAAUCUUGAUUAUGACUGGGAGUGGGCGAGUACGGAUAAAGUUGUUUACCCAGAGAUGUUCGGCGUACACGAACCUGAUCGAUAUAUGGGUUCCAACAAGGAGUGUCUAGCAAUCAAUGUACAAAGCGACUGGAG